AUGUCACUCUUGGCUCAUCUCUCAACAUGCCCUGGAUUUGUAUGCCUUCAUGUCUUGAUUGAUUUUUUUUUUUUCUUGAUCAUGGAGCCAGAAGUCUCAGAUUCAAGGUCUGCUGCCACCUUCAUAGUUGAGGUUCUUGGAAGUAUUGUUACUCCACCCCAAUCUGCAUGGCCCCAACCACGUGGUAUCAUAGUGAACCUAAAUUACUGGAGCAUUUGGAUGAGCCAUGGUGGUGGCCCCUCCUGUUUUAUUCCAGUUUCUCAUCAAAAGGAUUUCCUACCAUCAAGCCAACAAGACCCAGAUGUAAUUUCACUGAUGAGCAAGACAUCUCUGCCAACUGAAUUCCUAUUGAUUAGCAUCUGAUUUUGUUUGUCAGCAAAAAGAAAAACGUAUUAUUUAAUGGCACGUUUGGUACAUAACCAGCGGGAUUAAGUGGUGGGAGGGAAGGGUGUGGAUGCAGGGGUCUCUUUCAGAAACUGAUGAAAUUAUAUUAAUGUGUAUGAUCAUUUCUGCUCUCAACCAAAUAAAUAACAUUCGUCAUCUUAAAGCAGCCAACGUCUUGCCCUGAAGAUGAAAGGACUCGUUGGCUUGCUGUCAUUCUUCAUAGUUAGAAGCUAUCAUGGCCUGGGAUGGGGUAUGUGCUGUGCUGACUGUGGGUCCAAUGUCACUCCCUCUCCAUCCGGCUUCCUGACUCCUCCUCCCUUGACGGCUUAUUGGGGGAUCAGACACAAGCCAGUUACUCUUCCCAGGUGGGAAGAAUGACAACUCCUAAUGAUUCAUUCCAGCUGUUUGUGGAGAUAAGGCAGAAUGAAUGCAGGCCCCACACCAGAAUAGGAUGAAGGGGAUUUCUGGGAUCACAAAGCAGACCUAGACUUUUAUAAAAAGCCACACAUACUGAUAGACUACAGUUACAGAAUACAUUAGCAUUUACCAAGAACUUUUUUCACAUGUUAUUUAAUCUGACUGUGACUAAUCCGAUGAGGUCAUUAUUAUUAUUUCUAUGUUAAACAAGGCUCAAAGACAUUGAGUGACUUAUCCAAUAUUAUGUGACCAUAAGGUAUGGACCUAAGGGUUGAGCUAAUGCCUGAGCCCCAGUGUUCUUUCCAAUAUAAUAGACUUUCUAUACUUCAUUUCACACUGUUGAUAAAGACAUACCUAAAACUAGGUAAUUUAUAAAGAAAAAGAAGUUUAAUGGACUCACAGUUUCACAUGGCUGGGGAGGCUCAUAAUAAUAGUGGAAGGCGAAAGGCAGGUCUUACAUGGUGGCAGACAAGAGAAAAUUUGUGCAGGGAAACUCCCCCUUAUAAAACCAUCAGAUCUCAUGAAACUUAUUCACUAUCACGAGAACAGCAUGAGAAAGACCCGCCCCCACGAUUCAAUUACCUCUCACCACAUGUGGGAAUUGUUGGAGCUAUAGUUCAAGAUGAGAUUUGGGUGGGGACAGCCAAACCAUAUCAGCUUUAUCAAGAAAAUAUAUGUUCCAUGCGUUUCAACUGAAACCCCUGUUUCCUGUUUGUAAGGAUAUUAUUUUCUGAUGAAGACCUUUUAUUACUAAUCACAUACAAUUUCAAAAAUUUAUGAAAGCAAAUAACUUAUUACUUAGGUGUCAUAAGGAAAGAGCAUGAGGAAUCAGUGUUAAUAUUCAAUCUAACCCAUAUACCUAUCAGUGGAAAAACUUCAUUUCUUUAGUAAUUGCAUAUGCUUCUUUCACAUUAACCUGUGUGUCCUUAUAUCAUGAGAGGGAAGCAAAAGAGUGCACAACAUAAUUAAGUAAUAGAAAAAAUUUCCAGGAAUGACUUAAAUGAAAUGGAUUUUCUUAAGUGAUUGACCAAAGACCUAUCAAGAGUUCCCACUCAAUUCCUGAUGCAGUCAAGAGUGUUUCUGGUCAAUUAUGGCCCUCAAGGAAUUAAGAGGUCAGAAUGCCCUCACAGAGUAGCAAGAGAUAGAUAGAGAAAUUUGGCAUAAAACUGUGGAUUAUCUUGUCUGUGUAAGCCCGAUUUUCUGAGAGGAGCCCACUGGCUCUCAACUGGUGAUAAGGAUGUAGUCACCUGAAAAUCGGCAAGCUGUCACCUUCAAGUAAAUGAAAUGCUCUUUCAUAAAGCAAACUCAUGAAGCAUGAUUCAAGGUGGAAAAUACUGUGGUAUUAGAAUUUGUAUAUAACUCUGUGUGGGAGAAUUCAGGAAACUUCAAUCUUUAUUUAUCUAUAUCUUAUUCCUAUCCAGAUUACCUUUUCCAGUAAUCCUAUUAUUCACUGUCCAUUAAGCUAGUCUCCUGUUAACAAAUUCAGACUUCUCUAGGACAUGCUCAUUUCCUUUAGGUCUUGCUGGACUUUUACAAUGGACAGUCAAUGGUACUGUGAUCUUUCCUUCCACAUCCACUGUCUCAUAGUCACUAACACUCUUCUCCUGCUGUUCACCCCAUUAGUCAAAUGUCCAUUCUUUGACCCCCUUUUCCCAUAUUAUUAUAUCUGCAACUAAUGUCUUCUUCCCCUGCCUUGCCCUUGAAGCUGAUGCCAUGUUUGCUUUAACAUAGCCUAAGCUUGGUGGUGAAGCACCUUGGGCAGUUUCUAAGGUGUGGCUGAGUAGAAUUUUCAAAGUGUUUUCUUGGCUCAAAGAGUCAGCUAAAGUUCUUAGUAAUAAUGUUGAUAGUGGGAAGUUCUUUCUAAUUAGAAAAGCAAAAAUAUAUACACAUGUAC
rnacentral:lncRNA from 1 species